rnacentral:lncRNA from 1 species
AGAGGGACGGCGGAGGGCGCCGCCCGCGGGGCAGCUGGAGAGGCUCGGGAGCCUCGGGGCUCUGGCCCCGGCUUGGGGGCCGGAGUGGAGGACGGCGGGGCGUGGAUCUGAGAGCCUCCGGGCCCGAGAACCAUCCGGAGGACCAGACAGAACCUCUUUGGGUGCCGGAGAGGUUGGUGAGACGCUGCAAGAAUGAGGCUCCUGAUCCAGUUGCCCCUGUGGAUGUGGUGGAUGAUCCCACAAGCACAAACAAUGGAGCCGAGAUGGGAAAUCCUUUCAGUUUUCCAGAAGCCGAUGCCAGUUCGACAUGAUGUUCAAGUUUUCCCACACUCUUUUGUUAGAUUCCUGAAUACCC